rnacentral:rRNA from 1 species
AACGAACGCUGGCGGCAGGCUUAACACAUGCAAGUCGAACGCAUCCUUCGGGGUGAGUGGCAGACGGGUGAGUAACGCGUGGGAACGUGCCCUUCAGUUCGGGAUAACCCAGGGAAACUUGGGCUAAUACCGGAUACGUGCGAGAGCAGAAAGAUUUAUCGCUGAAGGAUCGGCCCGCGUCUGAUUAGCUAGUUGGUGGGGUAAUGGCCCACCAAGGCGACGAUCAGUAGCUGGUCUGAGGGGAUGAUCAGCCACAUUGGGACUGAGACACGGCCCAAACUCCUACGGGAGGCAGCAGUGGGGAAUAUUGGACAAUGGGCGCAAGCCUGAUCCAGCCAUGCCGCGUGAGUGAUGAAGGCCUCAGGGUUGUAAAGCUCUUUCGUCCGGGACGAUAAUGACGGUACCGGAAGAAGAAGCCCCGGCUAACUUCGUACCAGCAGCCGCGGUAA